GUACACCUGUUUGAGUG
rnacentral:rRNA from 1 species